GACGAACGCUGGCGGCGUGCUUAACACAUGCAAGUCGAACGGAAAGGCCCUGCUUUUGUGGGGUGCUCGAGUGGCGAACGGGUGAGUAACACGUGAGUAACCUGCCCUUGACUUUGGGAUAACUUCAGGAAACUGGGGCUAAUACCGGAUAGGAGCUCCUGCUGCAUGGUGGGGGUUGGAAAGUUUCGGCGGUUGGGGAUGGACUCGCGGCUUAUCAGCUUGUUGGUGGGGUAGUGGCUUACCAAGGCUUUGACGGAUAGGCGGCCUGAGAGGGUGACCGGCCACAUUAGGACUGAGAUACGGACCAGACUCCAACGGGAGACAGCAGUGGGGAGUAUGGCACAGUGGGCGGAAGCCUGAUGCAGCAACGCCGCGGGCGGGAUGACGGCCUGCGCGUUGUGAACCGCUUUCGCCUGUGACGAAGCGUGAGUGACGGUAAUGGGUAAAGAAGCACCGGCUAACUACGUG
rnacentral:rRNA from 1 species